AACGUAGGAGACAAACGUUAUCCGGAGUUACUGGGCGUAAAGGGCGUGUAGGUGGUUUCGUAAGUCUGGCGUGAAAUUUUUCGGCUUAACCGGGAAAGGUCGUCGGAUACUGCGGAACUAGAGGACGGUAGAGGCGUGUGGAAUUCCGGGUGUAGUGGUGAAAUGCGUAGAGAUCCGGAGGAACACCAGUGGCGAAGGCGACACGCUGGGCCGUACCUGACACUGAUGCGCGACAGCAUGGGGAGCAAACAGGAUUACGAAAC
rnacentral:rRNA from 1 species